UUUAGUUUAUAUAUAUUAAAUCAAAUGACCCAAUGGGUCAAAUUUUAUUAAAAAAGCAAUCCUAUUAUAGAAGGGGUAGCCCAAAGUGCUAAGCCCACAAAGUCAGUCCAAAAGCAACAAAAAUAAUCUAGAAAAUUGAAUUAGGAAAGUAAACACACAUUCGAAAGUGGAAAAGAUUAGGAAAGUACCGCACAAUUCUUCGAUCUGCCAUUGAUAUGGCUUCUCCGUUGAUAUCCUUGUCUUCUCCCACUCCCAUUGAGAAGAUGAAGAAUUUAAAUAGUGCCUUGAUUUCGAUAUUGUGGAUCCCAUUCCACCAGUGCCUCCCAUACUACCAGUGGCACCCAUGUUUUUUACUUGUUUUUUUUGCUAUUUUAGACACAAGGCAAUUAAGUUUGAUUUUGUGAUGGAAAUGAGGUGCAUGGAGUAGGGAUUUAUACAGGCAAAGGAGAAGUAAGAGAGACUAACUCGAGGCAUAACAGGUGUUAACAGACUCUUGAAAUUGGGGAUUUUCGGGUAAGAAUGGCAAAACAUGGCAGCAGAAAGUUAGAUUGCACCAGCAAACUUUGUUAACUUUGUUAAUUGCACAAUUUCAUCCUUCCAUUAUUGGAUUAUUUUCCAUAAGACUGGAAUUGAUUUAGACUUCUAUUUUUUAUCUCUUUUUAUUUUGAGUUUUCAUUUUCGUUCUUAGCUUUUCCAACUCAAUUCAGUCUUAGUUAAUGCGAAUAGCUUGACUUUUGUUUUUGCAUGUGGCUUAAAAUGGAUACAAACUUUAUUGUUGGCUGCAUUAACUUGUUUUGGGCUGCAGGGGUUACUCACAUUUUCUCACUCAGGUUCUGUUGUCAGUUGAAAAUGGCUACUGAAAAUCAAUGGAGUCCAAACAUUCAGUUUAGUUAGAAAAAUGAUCGGAGUGGAAUGCAGAGUUGGAAAUCAAUAGAAUGCAUCUCAGAGUGAAAAAAUGAUCUUUCAGUUACCCAAGAUUUGAUGCUCUAUUUAGACCUUGCCAUCGUUGGUCUUGACACAAUUUAUGAAUGGGCAGGUAAGAAUUGAGUGUUUCAGCUUGUUCGCUUAUAUGAAAGUAUAAGAAAGAGCCAAAAUGUUCAUUAUUUGAAUAAUAGUUUAAAGAACUUAAUGUUAUGGGGGCAUUAACAAUGAGAUGAAUCUAGCUUUCCUGGGUAAUGCAUCUAAACUUAUGUAAAAACUCUAAUGUUAAGUAGUUAUUGUCGUCGAGAUUUUAUACCAUUUCUGAAAGAUGCUAUUGCCCUCUUUUAGAUUAGCCAUUUGUCAUUUCUCUUAUGAGAUACUAUAAUGUCUCAUAUUUUCAUUCUUCCUAGGUUGCUAUUACAUUCUCGAUCUUUGCUUCUUCUGCUGGUUUUAAAGAUUUGCAAUGGAGUAUGAGUAUGGAGUCUUUCGAACUAUAUAAUCGUGACACUGCAUAGUCCUUAUAGAGAUAUUGGCUCUUUUCCAUGAACCUUAUUGCAUUCCCUCGUCAUUAAUUCUAAGAGGUCGUUUAGUUGGGAAAGAGUUACCUGGGACAAUUAAUUUCGAAAUUAGUUAUCCCCCGUGUAUAUGGGAUAACUUAUCCCAUCAGUAUUGUCUUAAUGCUGAAAUAAAUAAUAUCGGUACUAAUUAAUACCUCGCAACAAACAUGAGAUAAAAUAGUCCAUUUUAUUUCGGAAAUAUUUAUCCCUUAUACCUCUCACUAAACGACCCCUAAGUAUCAUAGACAUGAGUUUUUGUUCAAGAUUAGCUGACUGCUUCAGCUGUAUCUUGACGUUCAAAAGAUAUCUUAGAUAUCUGAUUCAUAUCGAUCUGAAACUUGAUUCAUGUUAUUUCGAGAACUAUUUUCUUUGAAAGUAUUUUUUCUUUUCCUUUAUUUUUUGUGUAAUUUAUGGUGAUUCUGGAGCUUCAUAGAGCGGAAUUUACAUGAAUACAGAAGAAGAAUUAUCGUGGACGUGUUAUGUAUCAUAGCAACAUAAAUCUCGAGGUCUGCAUUGGGUUCAUUCAAGCGAAGGGUCUUAUACUCAAAUGUUGGUCAUGAUUGUAUCCUAUUUGUAUUGUUAAAUCAGGCAACCGGCCCAGCCUCUGCUAUCAAAACUUUAAAGAGGUUGUUUGGUGUAAGGUAUAGGGGAUAAGUAGUCAUGAGAUAAAAUAACCAUAUGGAUGGUGGGAUAAGUUAUCCCAGGUAAUCCUGGGAUAACUAAUCUCGGGAUUAGUUAUCCCGGGAUAACUAUUUUCCAACCAAACGACCCCUAAAGGCUAAAGAUUAUUUUUCCUUAACAAACUUUAUUUAGAUAUUGUAGGUUGGAGUAAAUCAUCAAUUUGACGUAAUAAUGAUCUGCCCAAGGUACACUACUUGCUAGUGGAUACUAAUUAAAUCGUAUGCGCUACAUUAUAUCAUAAAAAUUUGUGCUUACAGUGGGAAGAUUCCUUAAAUGAGAAGUAUCCUGACAUUGUGUAUCAAGAACAUUGUAAGGCAUGUGAAAGUGAGCAGAUGAUUGUAUUCACACGCUCAAAUUUGGAUAUUAUUUUUUAGCCACGUGGGUGUUUUGGUAAGCUUACAAUUUUUAAAUGUUUUGGUAAGCUUACAAUUUUUAUUUAAGCUUCAAUUAUAAAUGUGCUUACCUGUGAAAUUUCUAUUUAAGAGUUACAGUACA